rnacentral:rRNA from 1 species
UCCUACGGGAGGCAGCAGUGAGGAAUAUUGGUCAAUGGGCGGAAGCCUGAACCAGCCAAGUAGCGUGCAGGAUGACGGCCCUAUGGGUUGUAAACUGCUUUUAUACAGGAAUAAAGUUAGCCACGUGUGGUUAUUUGUAGAUACUGUAUGAAUUAGGACCGGCUAAUUCCGUGCCAGCAGCCGCGGUAAUACGGAAGGUCCAGGCGUUAUCCGGAUUUAUUGGGUUUAAAGGGAGCGUAGGCCGUCUGUUAAGCGUGUUGUGAAAUGUAGAUGCUCAACAUCUGAAUUGCAGCGCGAACCGGCAGACUUGAGUGUGCGCAACGUAGGCGGAAUUCGUGGUGUAGCGGUGAAAUGCUUAGAUAUCACGAAGAACUCCGAUUGCGAAGGCAGCUUACGGGAGCACAACUGACGCUGAAGCUCGAAAGUGCGGGUAUCGAACAGGAUUAGAUACCCUGGUAGG